GGCGCUUUUCUCCCUCUUUCCGUGUCGCCUGUCGCUGCGUGUGGAGGGACGAAGGCAGCAGGGAGCGUCUCAUGGCACCGGCAAGGCCGUCAGAUGGCCCCGAAGGCUUUGCCCGCUGGGCGGCCGCGUCUGGCGUGAGCAGCAGGCACGGGGUAGUAGGCCUUGCCAACGGGGAGCGCUGGGGAUCUGGAGUCGUGCCUUUGACAGCCCAUAGAGGCCCCACUUAGCAACUUCAUGUUUGAAAUAUUCUAAAUGUGGAUAUCAAACCCAAAGUGGAAGCAAUGCUCAGGACUUCUUAGGAACAUAUAAUACCUUCUGCUAGAAGGUUUCUCAAGUCUGGUGCUUUUAUGGACAUACAUGAUAAAUGUCUUCAAUGAAAAGAGUUCCUUGAAAAUUGGUUGAUCUCCGGGGAGAAAAUCAGCAUGUGCAAGGGACUUGAACUGAUAUUAAACAUCUUAUGGUUUCAAUGAGCGGCCAGUGCCUGAACUCAUACUAGAUGGCUUCAGUUGUCACCUGCAGUGUAUUGUCUUGAAAGUGGAAUUGAGACAAGCAGCUGCUAAAACUGUCCCUUCAAUGAUCAUGUUUAAACAGGAACCACACCAUUUGUUGAAAUGGGUUUCUUACAAAAACUCAUGUAACUUAUGUCUGUGGAUUAAUUGAAAUAAAAUAUGAGAAUGCUACCAGAA